AUUGAACGCUGGCGGCAUGCCUUACACAUGCAAGUCGAACGGCAGCACGGACUUCGGUCUGGUGGCGAGUGGCGAACGGGUGAGUAAUGUAUCGGAACGUACCUUUCAGUGGGGAUAACGUAGCGAAGUUACGCUAAUACCGCAUAUUCUGUGAGCAGGAAAGCAGGGGAUCGCAAGACCUUGCGCUGAUUGAGCGGCCGAUAUCAGAUUAGCUAGUUGGUGAGGUAAAGGCUCACCAAGGCGACGAUCUGUAGCGGGUCUGAGAGGAUGAUCCGCCACACUGGAACUGAGACACGGUCCAGACUCCUACGGGAGGCAGCAGUGGGGAAUUUUGGACAAUGGGGCGACCCUGAUCCAGCCAUGCCGCGUGAGUGAAGAAGGCCU
rnacentral:rRNA from 1 species